AUGUUAACGAUGAUGAGGACACAGAUGCGGAUGAAUCAGAGGAGGAGGACAAGGAGGAGGAUGAAAAAGAAGAAGAUGCAGAGGAGGAGGAGGAGGAGGAGAAAGAAGAGGAGGACAAAGAAGAAGAGGACAAAGGAGAGGAGGAGGACAAGGAAGAAGAUAGUGAGGCAAAGGAGGAGGAAGAAGAAGAUGAGGCCAAAGAGGGGGACGGGGACAAAGGUGCAGCAGUUGAUGGCAGUGAGGGGGGAGAAGACAAAGGUGCAACAGUUGAUGGUAGUGAGGGGGAAGAAGAUGACGAUGAAGAAGACGAGGAUGGUGAUGGUGAUGAUCAAGGGGGAUCCGAUGGAGGAGGGAGGGGGGCAUUAUUGGGUCUUCAAUGGCAACUUGAGGGACGGACGCUUCGAAGUUCUUGAUUCAAGCAGGAUGUUGGACAACAUUGAGCUGAUGACCACCGCCUCUACCAUCGUGGGGGCAGUACGCCAGCUAUGGAGGAAGCAUUACCCAAAGUUCAGCAUCGAGCACUUCCAGAUUAUUGACAUUGACGUACCGAAGCAGCUCGGCAACAAUGAGUGUGGGCUGUUCGGACUGCUUAACGCCACCGAGUGGAACGGUAGCCAACUGCCCAACUACGAUCCCAAGGAAGUACUCAACAUCAGGAAGAAGCUGGCAUAUGAUUGGGUCACCAGCCCACACAACUCUGCACCAUGGAGGAAAUUGCUCAGAUACGACAAGGACUAG
rnacentral:rRNA from 1 species